AGUGAACGCUGGCGGUAGGCCUAACACAUGCAAGUCGAACGGCAGCACAGUAAGAGCUUGCUCUUACGGGUGGCGAGUGGCGGACGGGUGAGGAAUACAUCGGAAUCUACUUUUUCGUGGGGGAUAACGUAGGGAAACUUACGCUAAUACCGCAUACGACCUACGGGUGAAAGCAGGGGAUCUUCGGACCUUGCGCGAUCGAAUGAGCCGAUGUCGGAUUAGCUAGUUGGCGGGGUAACGGCCCACCAAGGCGACGAUCCGUCGCUGGUCUGAGAGGAUGAUCAGCCACACUGGAAGUGAGACACGGUCCAGACUCCUACGGGAGGCAGCAGUGGGGAAUAUUGGACAAUGGGCGCAAGCCUGAUCCAGCCAUACCGCGUGGGUGAAGAAGGCCUUCGGGUUGUAAAGCCCUUUUGUUGGGAAAGAAAAGCAGCAGGUUAAUACCCCGCUGUUCUGACGGUACCCAAAGAAUAAGCACCGGCUAACUUCGUG
rnacentral:rRNA from 1 species